GAAUAGGAAGAGCUCCAGUCUAGAGCUCCCAGCGUGAGCGACGCAGAAGAUGGGUGAUUUCUGCAUUUCCAACUGAGGUAUUUCUUCAUAACAAUGCAAAUGAACUAAGACAACAAGUCUCUGUGUUCUCCUUCAUCUAUCAUACUACCCGAGGUUUGUUUACGUGGUAAAGACAAGGUUCGGAGAGAAAUGGUUGAAACCAGCAUAGCUUUUUGAGACACAAUGCCACUUAUGCCACAUGCUAUUGGCCACAGCAAGUCACAGAACAUCUGGAUUCAAGAGGAGGGAAAUGGAUUCCACACCUUGAUGGAGGAGAUGCAAAGUCAUAUCACUUGGGACAUGGAUACAGGGAGGGGUGCAAUUUGGGAUGUUUUUGCAAUUAACCUACCACAGGCUUAAGGAGGCUUUUAGGAUUUACCUUCUGCUCUAAAGAGUUUCAACCACCAUGGCUUAGAGAACAUUUCUUAAAGCUCAGUCAUCUUUCAUGUAUCCAUUGUUCUCCAAAGGGACUAAGUUUUGUUCCAUGGUCAGUCUUUUCCAUGU
rnacentral:sRNA from 1 species